rnacentral:lncRNA from 1 species
AGUUGCUGAGCUCCCAUGGGCUGUAAAGUCUGAAGAUAAAGCCAAAUAUGAUGCAAUUUUUGACAGUUUAAGCCCAGUGGAUGGAUUUUUGUCUGGUGAUAAAGUGAAACCAGUGUUGCUCAACUCUAAGUUACCUGUGGAAAUCCUUGGAAGAGUUUGGGAGUUGAGUGAUAUUGACCACGAUGGAAAGCUGGACAGAGAUGAGUUUGCAGUUGUAAGUAACUAGAUGUUCUUAAAAUGUAAACUAGUAUCAUCUGACGACCUUCCCACACCCACACCUCCUGACAGCCUUUUAAAACAGGGCUUGACUUUACGAGCUUCCUAUGUGCUUAAAUUACAGUGUAUAUCAUCUGUCUUGGGACAUUUUCCCAUCUUAAUUUAUGAUUAGAAUAUGCCUGUCAGAUUGUAGUUACUAAUGUCUUUAGAAUGUAUAGCUGAAUGCAUAUAUUUAAUGAGUAAGAGAAUGUGUAUGUUUUGCCAUCAUUUUUUUCCUCUCUUUAGGUACAUAGGAAAGAUACUGUUAAUGUGCAAUAAAAAUGAUAAAAGCCCUUGUGUUGAUCUGAUGUGCACUGAAAGUUAAUAUUUCUUAAACACAAAGAGAAAAAACACUUGAAGUCAGUGGUUGGUAAUAAUCCCGAACUCAGUCCUUUCCUUUUCUGGCACCCUGUGGAAGUUUAGCUUGGUUUGUGAUGACUUACUUUCUUUCUUUCUUUCUUUCCCUUUUUUUUUUUUUUUUGAGAGAGAGAGAGAGAGAA